GAAGGUGUCCAGUAAGAAAGCUUGUUCCCCUCCAGGGUGCUCCUAUCUUCCUUCCCUUGGUACAUCAGCAUGUAUGCCUGUCCCCAUGUCCCUGGAUCUAGACACAUCCUAAAUCAUCUUGUUGCGGCUUCUCUGAGAGCUUUACAUGGGAAGGGGGUUCCUGUGUCUGUGUUCCAUCCAUCCUUACCCCACAAGCUGGGGCUACCCACUUAGUAUCUUGCCACUUUCACACUCCUUCUGGGGAGCAAUGCACACUCAGGGGAGGCAGGCACCAUCUCUCCUCUGGGGUAAAGAAGGGAUGAGUCUUGGAGCCAUACAUCAGGGAAAUGAUAUGGCAAUCCAUCUAGGGACCACAAAACCCCAUCGGAAGAGCCUGGCAAGUCAGAUGUGGUCCACACCUGUCCAUCACACCACCCAAAUUUCCCAAGCAGACCCCAAGUCUGCUUUUGGAAAAGGUGUCAGAUGGAGCCUCAACCUGAAGGCAUGACUUUCUCAGAAGAGUCUACAGCUGGGUUCUGCAGAGCCUUUCUUUAAGACCGUGGGACUGGAAAAUGGGAAUGCUACAGGUCUCUCUAUCCCACACCUCCCUCAGAGACUGGUUUAGGGUUCUGCCGUCCAAGUGGAGUCUAGAACCAACCUGGUUGUCUGGCUGAUGACUUUACCCAUCGAUUAUCUGCCAACCGAUGGAGGUGGACUGUCUUCAUUCCCUGGCAACUAACUUGGAGGUAGUCAGCAAAUGGAACUUGAUAUCAAAGGACUGCCAUCCAAAGAGAAGUCCUGUUGCCUCAAGGCCAGUGGGAACCCACCCGAGAGUCACGUUGAUACAGCAGGACUGGGCCUUCCAAGAGGCAGAAGAACUCACCACAGCUCUGUGGUCCAGUGCUACCAGAGCAGAUGCAGAGACCCAUGGCUACAGUGGCCUAGACAGUCCCUGAGAGAACACUCGUACCCCAGCCUGGGAUGUCCCCACAGAGCACCUGCCGCCCACCCUGGGCUACUCCCACAAAGACCACUCGUUGCUUGUCAACCUCCUUUGCAGAUCCUCACCACAGUACCCUAAGAAGCAGCUUGGCACAGCCUAACCCAGGCCCUAGCCCCUCACCCUAAGCCCACAGAGGGCAUGUCUAGUCACAGUAAACCAUCUCUAAAAGGGCUACUCUUGGGGGGAUGGUGCUCAAGAUCUGUGCAUGCUAGAGCUUUAAAGACUUGGCAAGGACACUCAGGCCGUGAAUGCUAGGCCUGAGCAGCUGCAUUCUGAUUGUGCAGAUAAGAAAACUGAGGCACUAGAUGGUGACCCUUUACCUUCUCCUCCUAUCCCAAUAGCUCAAGUUCCCAGAGGGAAAGGUCUGGUCCACCUCCCCUGGGUCUCAUCCCUUGGCAAGCCCCUACUUCCUCAUGACUCACCAAGCACUGUGAUAACCCUCUCAGGGAAAAUGAGGCAGAGGCAACCACUAGUACAAUAGUAAUGUCACCCUGCCAGGGCCAUCCUGCCCCAGGCCUCUCUCAGCACUGCCUACCUCAAGCAGACAGGGCAAUAGGGGAACUUCUGAAAUCAGCAAAGGUAGGCCUGCGAUGUCCCAAAUGUGCCAGGCAUCCGGUUUCCCCUCCUCAACCCAAGAUGGGGAUCUGAAGGAGCUAGAUAGAAGGUGGGAGAAAACCUAGGCUCCACCAGGAGGAAGCCCAUCAUCAUCUGGGUGAAGCUCAGCCUCCCCUCUGUCUCGAGGAACCCCUGACUUGGCCUGGCCUGGCUCAGCUGGGCCAUCUGUGGAGAGAGCUCCAGGCCUCAGCUCCUAAUCACCCCACCUUCAGUGCACACCCCAGGAGGGCAAGGUUGGAGGAGUCCCUCCACUGGGCUCCUGCCUCUGAGAUCAAGGCUCUCCAUACUGCCCGAGGCCCUCUGAGUAGAGCUCAGAGGGUCAGAGGGACAGGUGGUUCAGGAAGGAACCUUGCCGAGGUGACCCUCAGAUUGUCCUGGUCAGCAGGUGUGGGAUUAGGUCAACAAGGUUUCCAGGGUAGAUGGGGACCCAGAGCAGGGCCCUGAGCAAAGCAGCAGCAGCAUCAUAUGCUGAGGACAUCAGGGUGCAGACAUCUCAGGGGCCAGAUGAGCCAUGCAGCUGAGGGCACAGGUAGCUAGGUAGAGAGGGCCAGGCCUGUGAAGAGAGACCUGUCCACCUGAGCCUGCCCCCAGUGACAGAAGGCAUGGCUCCAUGCAGAGUUGGGGUUCCAGGACAUGGAUAGUGGUUGACUCUGAGGCCCUUAAAGGCAUGGGGAGCCACCCUCUGUGAGCUCUGUGACUGCCCUGUAGCUCCCGAGGCACUACACAGUGGAGAUGUAGGGGAGUUGAAGCUUGGUCUUGGGGCAAGACAUUCCCUCAGUGUCACCCAGCAGUCCCAACAGAGACAUGUGCAGCUCUGUGGAGAUGCCACACCCUGUUCCCAAAGGACAGGAACAAGCUAAUGACCCUGUGUUGGGGAGGCAGGCAAGGAGAUAGCACCCCACCAGAGGAAGAGUGGAAGUCCUGUGUCAAUGGUGUGGGAACACAGUAGCAUUCCAGCCAUCUGAGGGCUCUGUGAGAGAGGCUUGGCUUUGGCCUGCCUUGGGCCUGGUAUGCUCACCCUGGUAUUUCAGGGCAGGUAGGAGGGAAGCACCUGGCCUCCGUCUGGUGUACCCAGUCCUCUAUGGGCAGCAUGGGGUGGGGACUCCCCUGAGCUCCUGCUCAGCUCUGGCCUUCUGGGGUUUCCUGAGUGGGUACUCUUAGGUCAAAUAUUCCCGUCUGGGCAUCAGGGACUUCUUACCACAUUAAACAGGAGAGUCC